GACGAACGCUGGCGGCGUGCCUAAUACAUGCAAGUCGAACGCUUUUUCUUUCACCGGAGCUUGCUCCAUCGAAAGAAAAAGAGUGGCGAACGGGUGAGUAACACGUGGGUAACCUGCCCAUCAGAAGGGGAUAACACUUGGAAACAGGUGCUAAUACCGUAUAACACUAUUUUCCGCAUGGAAGAAAGUUGAAAGGCGCUUUUGCGUCACUGAUGGAUGGACCCGCGGUGCAUUAGCUAGUUGGUGAGGUAACGGCUCACCAAGGCAACGAUGCAUAGCCGACCUGAGAGGGUGAUCGGCCACACUGGGACUGAGACACGGCCCAGACUCCUACGGGAGGCAGCAGUAGGGAAUCUUCGGCAAUGGACGAAAGUCUGACCGAGCAAACGCCGCGUGAGUGAAGAAAGGUUUUUCGGAUCGUAAAAACUUCUGU
rnacentral:rRNA from 1 species